AGGGCCGGAUAAUUAACACCUCAGGGAGCAUCCCUCAACCAAUGACUGAUCAGAAGUGGUGGAUAGAGCCUCAGAGGGUACCUCCUCGUCCUCGUGGGAUCACUUGGAGACACACGUCCUGAGCUACCUCGGCGAGAUCCCUAUCAGGAUUAAGCCCGUGUUGCCACCCCUGUGAUGAGAAUGGCAGCUGGAGGUUGGAGAACAUUCCUUGCAUAAUGAAAGCAACCCUUAUGGAACCAGCUGAGCUUCCAAGUCAACAGAGAGAGCCCUCGGAACCACUCUAUCUAGAGAUUUCGGGAACUGAAGCUUCCAGUGGGUCAGUGAAGGCAGGAGAACGUCAGUGCACAAUCUAGACACUGCUCUGGCCACUUUGGGGAUCUCUGUGUUUCUGUGACCUCCAGCUGUGAGAUGGUGUACCUUCCGGGCAGAUAGAUGAGAGAAGAAGCUUGUCCUGUAGGAAUCCAUCUCCUUUCCACCCUGGAGAGCCUCAUCCAUCACUUGUCAUUGCAGAGACCCAGCUGAUGCAUGCUCA